rnacentral:rRNA from 1 species
UACGGAGGGUGCAAGCGUUAUCCGGAUUCACUGGGCUUAAAGGGUGCGUAGGUGGGUUGGUAAGUCAGUGGUGAAAUCUCCGUGCUUAACAUGGAAACUGCCAUUGAUACUACUGAUCUUGAAUUUUCUGGAGGUAAGCGGAAUAUGUCAUGUAGCGGUGAAAUGCUUAGAUAUGACAUAGAACACCAAUUGCGAAGGCAGCUGGCUACACGAAUAUUGACACUCAGGCACGAAAGCGUGGGGAUCAAACAGG